rnacentral:rRNA from 1 species
CACGUAGGGGGCGAGCGUUGUCCGGAUUUAUUGGGCGUAAAGAGCUCGUAGGCGGCUCGGUAAGUGAGGUGUGAAAACUCCAGGCUCAACCUGGAGACGCCACCUCAUACUGCCGUGGCUAGAGUCCGGUAGGGGAGAAUGGAAUUCCUGGUGUAGCGGUGAAAUGCGCAGAUAUCAGGAAGAACACCCGUGGCGAAGGCGGCUCUCUGGGACGGUACUGACGCUGAGACGCGAAAGCGUGGGGAGCGAACAGG